GUGCCAGCCGCCGCGGUAAUACGGAGGGUGCGAGCGUUGUCCGGAAUCACUGGGCGUAAAGGGCGCGUAGGUGGCGCGGGAAGCGUGCGGUGAAAGCCCGGGGCUCAACCCCGGGUCGGCCGUGCGAACUCCCGGGCUCGAGCACUGUAGGGGCAGGCGGAAUUCCGGGUGUAGCGGUGGAAUGCGUAGAGAUCCGGAAGAACACCGGUGGCGAAGGCGGCCUGCUGGGCAGUGGCUGACGCUGAGGCGCGACAGCGUGGGGAGCAAACAGGAUUAGAUACCCGCGUAGUCC
rnacentral:rRNA from 1 species